rnacentral:rRNA from 1 species
GGUGGAUUAGUGGCGAACGGGUGAGUAACACGUGAGUAACCUGCCCCCUUCUUCGGGAUAAGCUUGGGAAACUGGGUCUAAUACUGGAUAUUCUGCAAUUGUCGCAUGGUGGUUGUGGGAAAGAUUUUUUGGUGGGGGAUGGGCUCGCGGCCUAUCAGCUUGUUGGUGGGGUGAUGGCCUACCAAGGCGUCGACGGGUAGCCGGCCUGAGAGGGUGACCGGCCACACUGGGACUGAGAUACGGCCCAGACUCCUACGGGAGGCAGCAGUGGGGAAUAUUGCACAAUGGGCGCAAGCUUGAUGCAGCGACGCCGCGUGAGGGAUGACGGCUUUCGGGUUGUAAACCUCUUUCGAUGGGGAACAAGGCCAUAUUUUUGUGUGGUUGAGGGUACCUGUAUAAGAAGCGCCGGCUAACUACGUGCCAGCAGCCGCGGUAAUACGUAGGGCGCGAGCGUUGUCCGGAAUUAUUGGGCGUAAAGAGCUCGUAGGCGGCUUGUCGCGUCUGCUGUGAAAACGCGGGGCUUAACUCCGCGCUUGCAGUGGGUACGGGCAGGCUUGAGUGUAGUAGGGGAGACUGGAAUUCCUGGUGUAGCGGUGGAAUGCGCAGAUAUCAGGAGGAACACCGAUGGCGAAGGCAGGUCUCUGGGCUAUGACUGACGCUGAGGAGCGAAAGCAUGGGGAGCGAACAGGAUUAGAUACCCUGGUAGUCCAUGCCGUAAACGUUGGGCACU